GGAGAAUUACUCAAGUGGCUGAAGAGGCGCCCCUGCUAAGGGUGUAGGUCGGGAAACCGGCGCGAGAGUUCGAAUCUCUCAUUCUCCG
rnacentral:tRNA from 10 species